rnacentral:rRNA from 1 species
CCUGCCCUCUACUCCGGAACAGCCCGUCGAAAGGCGGAUUAAUGCCGGAUGGUGUCACAUGCCCGCAUGGGCGCGUGACUAAAGGCAACGGUAGAGGAUGGGGAUGCGACUGAUUAGCUAGUUGGCGGGGUAACGGCCCACCAAGGCUACGAUCAGUAGGGGUUCUGAGAGGAAGGUCCCCCACAUUGGAACUGAGACACGGUCCAAACUCCUACGGGAGGCAGCAGUGAGGAAUAUUGGUCAAUGGGCGAGAGCCUGAACCAGCCAAGUAGCGUGCGGGAAGACGGCCCUAUGGGUUGUAAACCGCUUUUGAUUGGGAACAAAGAGCGCCACGUGUGGUGCGUUGCGUGUACCUUUCGAAUAAGCAUCGGCUAAUUCCGUGCCAGCAGCCGCGGUAAUACGGAAGAUGCGAGCGUUAUCCGGAUUUAUUGGGUUUAAAGGGAGCGUAGGCGGGCUGUUAAGUCAGCGGUCAAAUGUCAGGGCCCAACCUUGGCAUGCCGUUGAUACUGGCGGCCUUGAGUUCACACAAGGAAGGUGGAAUUCGUCGUGUAGCGGUGAAAUGCUUAGAUAUGACGAAGAACUCCGAUUGCGAAGGCAGCCUUCUGGGGUGUUACUGACGCUGAGGCUCGAAAGUGCGGGAAUCAAACAGGAUUAGAUACCCUGGUAGUCUGCACCGUAAACGAUGAGCGCCCGUCAUUGGCGACACACAGUCAGUGACCAAGGGAAACCGUUAAGCGCUCCACCUGGGGAGUACGCCGGCAACGGUGCAACUCAAAUGAAUUGACGGA